UUUCUCUCCCAAAUGGGGUUUUGGUCUCCUUCUCUGCUGCGUUUCUUCUGCUAAUUCUUAGGCCCAGAGGAAAGGUGGGCGCAAGUCGCCGAUUCCAUGGCGCUGGUGAUGUCUUGGUUAAUUUGUGUUGCUUCUGUUGGACCAUACUUUUUCUUGGUGCUUGAGGAUUAGGGUUCCAAGGGAUGCCGACGUUGGCAUCUGCUACGUGACUCUUCUUUUGGCGUGGCUCAUGACUGGUGAUCUGAAGUCAGAGUAAUAUGGUUUUUUUCUGAUGGUCCAUAAUUAUGUCCGAUCAUACGGUCAACAUUUGAGGAUUAAGUAAUUCAGCACUGCACUACUCUUCUGGAGAUCCCUACCUCAUACUCUUUGUUCUCUUCUUUGUUGAAAAUUUUCUGUUGCCAUCAGACUCUGUGUUACAUGUUAACAACAACAACAAGAGCGGUUUCUAGGCACUGAUUGCAGCGGAAUUUUGAAAUGGGGGUUGCAAAUAAAACUUCUUGGUUUCUUAAGAUGAAUCCCAUCGGGAAGUGACUCGCUCGAAGGCUGACAACCCUCUUUAUGGUACUUCACUCGUUGAAUACGCUCAUAUUGAGCAAUGGAUUGACUUCAUGCCAACAGAGAUUGCCCCAAGAGUUGGAUUUGGACCUUAUCUUGCUGGGUUGAGGAAGCUGCCAUAUCUUCUUUGAAGAGGGCCCUUGGUGCUUUGAACACUCAUCUUACGUCAAAUAUAUCUCGUCGGCCAUGCUGUUACUUUGGUCGAUAUUUUUAUGAUUUGUAACUUAUAUCUUGGAUUCAAUUGAAUCUUCAUUAAAAGUUUUACCUCUGAGUUUCCGAAAGAUACUUUUGGACCGUGGUUGAUCAACCAAAUUUCUGCAAGGUGUUAGGUGAGGUAAAGACCUGUUCCAUCACAAAAAAAAGGCUUCUCAACCGAAAGAGUCCCCAAAGCCAAAAAAUCCUCUAGUCCUGCUUCCUCCCGGUAAGAUGAUAUUAGAUGAGUGGAAGAGGCUUUAUUCUAAUACGAAAAUGAACUUCCGUGAGGUUGCUAUCAAAGGUACCUUUCCUGCUUUUGUCUGGUUGUUAAACUCUAUGCAAUGAUGAUCCUUUGUUUGCCGUAGAAACAAGAUAGUAUUUGUUAUGAUAGUGAAACCGAUGUCAUCUUCUUGGGGAAAUCUGAGACAUGAUGGCAUCUUUCAUCAUUCAGUUUCUGCUGAUAAUGUGUGGCGCCUGUUAGUUAAAAGAACUGUAUGCGCUUUUUUUUUUGUCUGGUCUCUGCUAAAAUUUCAGAAAACUCCUGUUUCUUGUUGCUGCUUAUAUGUAGAUCUUUGAAUGAAGAGGACCUUUUUUUUUCUUUUGUAGCUAAAGAAGUCGGAAUUUGACAUGCAGGUAAGGCUUUAUACAUUGACCCUUCUAGCCUUCCUAGACCCUGCAGGCACGGUGGCAGGAGCCUCAUGUACAAACUGGGUUUGCCCCUUUUUUUUUUUUUAAGGAGUCAGAAUUUGACAGGAAGUUAAAUUAAUGCUACAACAGCCAGUUAUCUUUGUGAUGAUCAAAGGCCCCAUUACAGAGUUGGCCCUUUUGUAGGAACAUCACAUGAUAUUCUCACUUCAAGACUGAACCAUGCUUUUUUUCGUUUAUUAAUCUAGAUUUUUUAAAUGUUGUCUCGCAUAGUGUAACGGUUUUGUUAUGUAUGACUUCAGUUUCAGGUUUCUGGGAUAUGUAUGACCGACCCCGAGGGGUACACACUGUGGUUCUGUGACUAAAAAUACAUUAUUGACCCUGAACAAAGUGAGUGGUUUCCUCCAGCUCAUGGACUUUUUGGGUCGGAAAUGUGCAUUUGGAAAGAUGCUUGUCAAUGCUUGGGAGCCACCGUAGAAGGUAAAGGGGCUGUGGCUCUUCCGGGGCGAGGAGAUCCCACAAUUUGUGUUGGAUGAUUGCUAUGACAUGGAGCUAAGGUUAGAGAUUGCCGAUGAAGCACACGAGGAGCGAGUGACCGGAGGACCAGUAGUCAUUUGAAGGCGAGGCCCCGUCGGAUGCCGAGUAAAUGUCCUCCAUCCAGUCUGGCCCAGCCUAAUAUUAUUAGUUGUUACUAUGACUUGUAUGGCAUUGCUGAGCACUGUCUUGAAUAUUUUUGAAAUGUGAUAUUUAUAUGUGAUUGUCUGA